UUUAUUACUAAUUGAAUAAGUUUUUUUUAGAUUCUCAGAAGUUCCUGUAAAACAAUUUUGUUUAUUUUUCUUUUAAUUAUUCAUAAAUUAUUGUUUAAAAUUUUAUUUUUUUAGCCGCAAAAAUUAUUAUUUUCAGAAUUAUUAACAAGGUUUUACAUACCCCAGGAAAAAUGAAUUCUUCUAGAUGAUAAGGUGCUGAAACAACGAUUCAUUUUAACGCGGCGAGAAUUCUUUUAUCACGCUAUUUUCAGAUAAUAUUCUUUAUUUUCAAUUUAUACGAUAUUAUUAAAUAAUUUAUGAACCUUUCAUUUGCACGAUAUAGCGGCAAAAUCUCAUAUAAGAAUUUUAAAGUUUACCCAACUUAGAUAACUCGUCUAAUUCAAAAUAUAAAAAUAGUUCAAAUACACACCGGGUUUGAAUACUACAUUACAUUAUACAACAAAAUUGAAAUUUCAAAAUUUUUUUUGUACAACAGCUUGUUUCAAUAUUUUACAAAUAAAUUUUCAGUGCUGAUAUAAAUUAUGUUGAGAAUGAAGUUUGUUUUACUUAUCUUUACCUUGGCAUAUGUUUCUUCAAAGAAGAUGGAAAACCAGUUUCUCUGUCACUCGUGUACUUCCUAUUAUAAUCUAUGUCAACCGACUGUUUCGGAGCCUAUUACUUGGCACCUUUUUAAAAAACUAAAUCGCUGCAUGCAGGAGUACGUGGACUGCGUUUCAAAAUUUUGUGAAGAAAACUUAACUAACACUAAAAAAAUGCUUAAAGCUAAGCGAUUAUUUCAUUUAAAAAUAAAAAACCUUCAACUGGUGAUAUAAAAUGUGAAUAAUUUAUAGAUGCUACCAAUAUUAUUUGAUUACAUUAUGAAAUUUCUGAAAAUUUUGUGUAAUAUAAAAUACUAUGUAAAUACAUUAUAAAAAAAAAUCUACUAAUUUAACUUU